GACCCUGUGGAGCAAGGCAGCUCACUUCCUGGGUAUAAGAUCUUUAAAUUUAUACCAUACAAGGGGGAGACGGUGGUUCGAAUCCACCCGGGGACG